CUGUAAAAUGCUUGGAACAACCAACCAGCCAAGGUAGAAUGCUCCAGGCACAAAACUGCUGUGUGGAUAUGGUCACGGUGCACACAGCAGGGACUGACUUGAUUGUUACUCCUAAAUGUCAACAAACUUGAUGAGUCACACAAAAUUCCCACAGUAUGUUUUUCCUCAUAUACAGCAGGUGAACUGGACUGAAGACGGAAUGCAUGCGGGCUGUUUCCAAAAUUCCAAAUCUGCACUCUGGACAACUUCCUGGAGGGAAAAAAAAACACUCCUGUUUUUUCCCCAACAAGGAACAUGAUCCCCUUUUCUCUUCUUUUAUGAACAUAUAAAACAGCAUAAAUUGAUCUGUAAACUGUAAUUUUUUUUUUAACUCUUUGUUUUGAAUUUUGAACCACUGAGAUGGCAGCAUAAGAAAGGAAACCAUGUGUCAUAUCCUUUGAUGAUUAUUAAAGCUGUUAAAACAACUGGGCUUUAUUGGAUAAUAAAAGCACUUUAUUACAGUUAACAGAUGGAGCUGGGGAUUUAUCCUACUGUCCAUGCCUGUGUCGCAUGUUUGCUGUCUUGUUCUCUCAACAUCUCCAUUCUGAUAAAUGUAUUAUAUAAUUUAGAAUCAACAUGAAAUGAAAAAUGGCCCUAUACUAUAUGAAAACAUAGGUUUAUUGUGAACAGUUCAUCGAUGCAGAUUAUUCUUCAGUAAAUAUUUAUUUAUAAUCUACUCUCUGCCUCUGAAGUUUCUUAUUUUUUCAACAUCUGUAGUAAUGCAGUCAGUUUCAGAUGGGUACAAUAACAUUGCACUUGCAAAUAUAGUAGUAUAAGUAAAAUCCCUUGUGUACAGCGUUUCACUCUGACUUUAAAGGUGGAGUGCAUAAUUUCUGUGCUACUUCAAACCUGAUCGAAAACAGUUGUU